GCCUACGGGGGGCAGCAGUGGGGAUAUUGCACAAUGGGGGAAACCCUGAUGCAGCGACGCCGCGUGGGCGAAGAAGUAUUUCGGUAUGUAAAGCCCUAUCAGCAGGGAAGAAGAAAUGACGGUACCUGAGUAAGAAGCACCGGCUAAAUACGUGCCAGCAGCCGCGGUAAUACGUAUGGUGCAAGCGUUAUCCGGAUUUACUGGGUGUAAAGGGAGCGCAGGCGGCACGGCAAGCCUGAUGUGAAAGCCCGCGGCCCAACCGCGGGACUGCAUUGGGAACUACCAGGCUGGAGUGCCGGAGAGGG
rnacentral:rRNA from 1 species